GGAAAAGCAUUAUGUCAAUGUCCUCACUAAGAUAGCUGAACGGGCUUGCGUGUGUGUGUAGGUGUCAGUGUGUGUGCGCACGUGUGUGUAGGGAGGGAGGGAGCAGAGCAGACUUUGCCCUGCAUGCAGGAAACUGUCGCUCAGUCGCCACACCACCAACAACGCUGCGACCAGCCGAGGAACUUCACACCAGCCAGUGAGUACAAACUGGGAGAACUGGAAGAACAGAUUCACAGCUGGGGGUGUUCAUCAUGAAUUCUUCAGCACCACCUCCUCCAUCAUCAUCAUCAUCAUCAUCAUCAUCAUCAUCACCGGCAUCAACAUCUACCUCGAUCAGAGCUGGGAAACAAACCCAGCUGAACUCCUCUUCAUCCUCUCCCCCUCCUCCUCCUUUUACUCUGUCUCUCAGAAGUCCUGAGCUGCAAGCAGAGUUUCUAAGAGAGUGUCGGAACAAAUUUAAGCCUCACAGCGACGACAGUGAAUCCAGCGGGGUUUCCUCCACCACCUCCCCUGUGGCCUCCCCCUUCAGCCUCACUCCUUCCUCCUCCCCCUCCAGUUCUUCAUCCACCUCGCCGUCCCCUGGCUUCAAGGACAGACAAGCUCGUCUGUCACUGUCCAGCCCCGAGCUCCUUUCUGAACUGAAGGAAUCCAAAAACCGCUCCCUCCGACACGUCCCCGCGCAAAAGGGAAUGACCACCGUUUUCUCAGGGCGAGGAAGAGCAUCAAGACAGGCGUCUGACUCCACUACACCCACCAAACCGGCCAAUCCGAGGGUUUCUCGCUGACUUUAUGAGCAACGUGUCAACCAGACUAUGAACUCUAAUUCUCCGUAUUAAUUAUGUAAAUACAGUAAAAACUCAUCACCAGCUCCUGAACCAUGUAGAAGACCCUGAAAUAAAGUACAGAACAAGGCUCUGCAGAUUUAUAUUUGUUCAUCAAUUAAAAAUGUUCAGUUCAUUUUUAGAGAAAGAAAAAAAUAAUUAAUUUAACCAAAUGUCUGGUCAUGCAGGCUGGAGUGUGGACUUCAAGCCAUGACUUUGUUGUUGCUAGGGUAUCUUGUCUCACCACUUCAGAGUUCUGAAUACUAAAGCUCAAAGGUAUAAGGAGUGAAAGCUGAUAUCCAAGAGGUAAAUGUUGAAUUGAAUAAUUAGGGUACUUGCGUAGCUAUUGCUGUGGAUAUAGCUCAGCCGGGAGCGUCUAAAGAGCAGUUCUUGAACUUUUUCUCUCUUGACCAUUUUUUUCCCCAAUACUGAUUGGUAGAUUAGGAUUCCACUUGCUGUCACAUAUUCAGGGAGUGCAGAAUUAUUAGGCAAGUUGUAUUUUUGAGGAAUAAUUUUAUUAUUGAACAACAACCAUGUUCUAAAUGAACCCAAAAAACUCAUUAACAUCAAAGCUGAAUGUUUUUGGAAGUAGUUUUUAGUUUGUUUUUAGUUUUAGCUAUUUUAGGGGGAUAUCUGUGUGUGCAGGUGACUAUUACUGUGCAUAAUUAUUAGGCAACUUAACAAAAAACAAAUAUAUACCCAUUUCAAUUAUUUAUUUUUACCAGUGACACCAAUAUAACAUCUCCACAUUCACAAAUAUACGUUUCUGACAUUCAAAAACAAAACAAAAACAAAUCAGCGACCAAUAUAGCCACCUUUCUUUGCAAGGACACUCAAAAGCCUGCCAUCCAUGGAUUCUGUCAGUGUUUUGAUCUGUUCACCAUCAACAUUGCGUGCAGCAGCAACCACAGCCUCCCAGACACUGUUCAGAGAGGUGUACUGUUUUCCCUCCUUGUAAAUCUCACAUUUGAUGAUGGACCACAGGUUCUCAAUGGGGUUCAGAUCAGGUGAACAAGGAGGCCAUGUCAUUAGUUUUUCUUCUUUUAUACCCUUUCUUGCCAGCCACGCUGUGGAGUACUUGGACGCGUGUGAUGGAGCAUUGUCCUGCAUGAAAAUCAUGUUUUUCUUGAAGGACGCAGACUUCUUCCUGUACCACUGCUUGAAGAAGGUGUCUUCCAGAAACUGGCAGUAGGACUGGGAGUUGAGCUUGACUCCAUCCUCAACCCGAAAAGGCCCCACAAGCUCAUCUUUGAUGAUACCAGCCCAAACCAGUACUCCACCUCCACCUUGCUGGCGUCUGAGUCGGACUGGAGCUCUCUGCCCUUUACCAAUCCAGCCACGGGCCCAUCCAUCUGGCCCAUCAAGACUCACUCUCAUUUCAUCAGUCCAUAAAACCUUAGAAAAACCAGUCUUGAGAUAUUUCUUGGCCCAGUCUUGACGUUUCAGCUUGUGUGUCUUGUUCGGUG
ensembl:lncRNA